UUGGGAUGAGCACUGAGUGUUAUAUGUAAGUGAUGGAUCAUGGGGUUCUACCCCUGAAACCAAUACUACAAGGUAUGUUAACUAACUUGAAUUUAACGAAAAAAAUUUUUUUUCCCUCUGACUAAAAUCAUCUUGUGUCCCCUUUUGAAGCUAUAAUCACCUUUACUUUCUAUUUUAUCUUAAUUAAUAAUAUCUUAUAGAUUUGCAGGCUUAUUUGUGGUUGCAUAUAUAUUAUCUUCUUAAGUGCAUGGGAGUGAGUCACUUAAGAGAUUGUUAGUUUCAAAGAAUGUUGAACUAAAGUAAUAAUAAGAUUCCUAAAUAAUAGAAUUUCACAUAUUCAGAACUUCUUUCGUAAGAGCAUUUGGAAUAUAAGUUGAAUACAUCAAAGUAACCAUAAAUGGGAUGAUUGAAACUAGUUGUGUUUAGAUAUAAAUAACUUGUAGCUUGAAAGCCAGCAGUCCAUCAGUGGCUGGAAAACAUAUCUCUAAGGCUGAAAAAUCAUUUUAUGUUAACCAAUAUUCUGAUGGCAAAAAAAAAAAAAGAUUUAAAUAUUUGUGAGUCCUAUAGCUACUAGUGAUAUGGGUGAUGGGAAAUGAGGAUGUAUUCUUUAUAUUGUUAUGCUUUCAUUCUUCAAACACCUUUCAACUUUUUUAUUCACAUUUUUGUCUAAGAAAACUGCAUAACAUUCAUAGCUGGAAAACUGAAAGAAGGGAAACUCAGAGCAGUGAUUCUUGAUGUUUCCUGGACUUGCUGCAGAAAUUGAUUGCUAUAUGUUAUUCCAUCACACAUCUUUCAACCACUAAAAUAUUUGUCUUUUUGGUGCUUACUCAUGUUUCCAUAUUUCUGGAAUGUUUGUAUAUUACAGCUGACACAGAGCUAAGAAAUUAACCCACCUCACUAUUUUACAAUAGAGAGACUUGUAGAACAAUUUCAAGAAACGUUAUUGCUGUCUUUCAAUAGAGUAUUUUUUUCCAAAAAACGUCAUCAUAAGAAAUCUAGUUAUGUCCCUGCAAGUAAGUAGGUACAUUUCUUGACAGUGUUCCAAUUAUUACUAUUGUCUACAGUUAUAAUGAAGUCAUUGUUUCUAACUGGUGUUAUUUCAACUAAAGCAGUAUCAAUUCUUUGCUGACAUCAAGCAUCUAUGGUUAGCUAUACAGAAUUUGAGUGAUCAGUUCUCUUGUAUGAUUCUCUUUAAUAAAAAAUAAGUCAAGAAUUACAUGGUUAUAGUUAAAUUUAAAAUCAGUUUCAAACUUGUAGAUCAUAAUAGGAUAUUUACAGAAGAAGCUGAUUAAAAAAAAGGCCAUCAGCCAAAGGCUUCCUGAAUAUGAUAUGAAGUUCUGAAAGGUAGAGUGAUUUUCUAUAAGAAAGAAUUGCUUUGAAUGCACUUUCCAACGAAGGCUUUGAUACCUUGCAGUGUACUAGUUGUAAGAUAAUCUGAUCACAAAAAAAGAAAUUCGAUCAUUGUAAUUCCAACUCACAUCAAUAGGAAAUAAAUAUUACUUAUUCUGGAAGUUUGCUGAAUGACAAUAUUUAUUCUAAAUACAGAUAGUUUUGCAUGAACACUAGGGACUGAAUGAAACACUGUUUGCUUACCAUUGAACCAGGCAGAUAUGGAACAAGAGUAAUGACUGAUCGCAAUAGAAGAUAUCUCUAAAAUUAUUCAUGCUUCCAGGAGAAGAAGUCCUGUGGGGAGAUGAGGGAGGGGGAGGAAAUAGGAUCCUCUUAAGACUGUCUUUAGGAAGAAUGAUCAUCCAGCUGCUUGCUCAAUUGUGAAUCAUCUUUUAUUGGAAAAUUUCCUUAAGCCAGUUUAAACAUCAGUAAAGGAGGGUUAAAUGAGCAAUCACAAUACAGCACCUUACCAUGGAGCUGUCAUAUAAUUAAUAUAAAGAAGCCUUGUAUCAAGAUAAAUAAAUAUGGGGAAUAAGAGUUUGGUUUUCAAGAAAUACACUUUGUUCUAGUUCUGAUUUCACAUAAAGGAAAACAGGAGAAGACAUGCUGAGUAUAAUUGAAUCUAGAAUAUUUAUAUAAAGAAAAUAACCAAAUGCAUUCUGUUUGUGUGUGUAGGUGUGUAUAUACCAUGUUUUAAUGAUUCUGUGGUCAUUUUUUAUUUUUAUUUUGAAAAUCAUCUAGAAACUCUGUAUAUGUUUUAAGUACUUCAUUUUACCUCUUUAUCUUUAAAAGAAUUUUCCUGAUCUUUAAAAAUUAAAAAAAAUUCUUAACAUUUAUUUAUUAUUGAGAGAGAGAGAGAGAGAGAGAGAGAGAGCAUGAGCAGGGGAGGGGCAGAGAGAGGGGGAGACACAGAAUCUGAAGUACACACAGAAUCUGCUGAGCUGUCAGCACAGAGCCCGACACGGGGCUCGAACUCACAAACCACGAGAUCGUGACCUGAGCCAAAGUCCGUUGCUCAACAAACUGAGCCACCCAGGCGCCCCAUGAUCUUUAAAAAUUUAAAGCCCAGUUGAAUGAAUAUUUACACUAAAAGUUUAGUGAAAGCCCCAAACCAAAAUUAUCUUUUUUGCAAGUGAUUCAGAUAGAUUUUUCAUGACAUAAAUUAUCUAGAUUUAUAAUACCAUCUAUUCAGUUCUUCUUGAUUUUGUUGAUAAAGUGAAAGAGAUUGAAGUACCUUUCCCAUGCUGUAGAAACCAGUGAAACAUUCAAGCAUGAAAACCAAGGAUAAUACUAUUUAAUUAUGAAAUAACCACUGAGUCAUUAUUAUUCUUCUGAACACUAGUACAAAUCAGAAAGCCUCAGUAAAACCCAGUUUUCUGGAAAGUUGAGAAAAUUGCAUUUGACAUUUUGAUUAUAAAAGUAUAUUGUGAAGUUCAGUGCAAAUGGCACUUGAUUUUGGGCCUGGCUUGGGCUGUAUUUUUCUAAAAAAAAAAAAAAAAUUGUUGACUGGUAUGGAAGCUCAGCCAUCUUGAUAAGACCCUUGAUUUUUAUUUUUUAUUAUUUUUUUUUAAAGUUUAUUCAUUUAUUUUGACAGAGACAGAGAGAGAGAGCAGAGGAGGGGCAGAGAGGGAGAGAAAGAGAGAAUCCCAAGCAGGCUCCGCACUGUCAGCACAGAGCCCUACAUGGGGCUCGAUCUCACAAACAGUGAGAUCAUGAUCUGAGCCAUAAGAGUUGGAUGCUAACGUACUGAGCCACCCAGGCUCACCAAGACCCCGGAUUUUUAUAUAGCAAUGGAACAGUAUACCAUUCAGUAUGAAUUUAAAAAUAACAUUUACCAGUGUGGAAAAGAAAUUGGCAAAAAACCUAUUAACCAUUAGCCAAGCCAGAGAAGGAAUAUAUGCUUAUUUUGCUCUAUUUGCUGCCCAUGUCACUUCCCACUCCUAUCCAGUUUCCACAUUUGCCCUAGGAAGGUGACGCUCAUGGACAGUGUGAAUUUGGCCAAUGGGAGGCACUACCAGGCUAUUGGAGGGCAGGGGGAAGGAGAUGUGAGGUGUUUAUCUUCCACCCCCUCUCCUUCAGCACCACAUUUCUGGCGGUGGCUCCCAACAGGCAGCCCUUUUUUAUGGCUUCAACUCUCACUAGUUACAGGGAUUCUAUUCCCAUCACACUCCUACUUUUCACUUCACCCCAUCUUCCCAGGCUUAAGGGUAAUGAUAGCUCCCCAGUGGCUAAUACUGGGUGCACCAGCUUCCCUUGUUGCUUCCUCUAACCUGCCUAAAUCUCGGAGUUCUCCUUUCAUUAAAGUCUCUGUGCCCAAUUUAUAUGAUUUGAAUUUUAGAAAGGAUGGAGUGGGGCUGGGACCAUGACUGAUACAGGAUUUUUAAGUCUUCCAUUUGGGGAACAAUUAUAGAAGAACAAAGUGAGCAAUAAAAGUCUGUAUGAGGAGGUUAUUUAGUCAAAUUAGUGUCUGCCUAUGGCCAUCCCCAAUGAAUGAGUGUUUAUGAUGGAUUAUGUCUCAGUAUUAUAUCCUUCUUCUCUUUCUGAUCAAGAAAUUCCAUGAAGCCAUCUUAGAAGAUGUUAUUUUCAAAUUCUAUGCUAUGCACAAUUUGGAGAUGUAGUUAAUUCAUUGAAUAAUAUCAUCAAGAUUCACAAAGGCCUUAAUGAUCUGGAAUCCUGGAUAUAUAGAAUUGGAGUUUUCUUGAAAUUGCAUACAAACCACAAUAUGCAUGUAGGGAUGUACAUUCCCUGCAUGAUUUUUUAAAAUCAUAAGUUUAGUGUGAUGCAACAUUGUGAUUUGGCUACUUAGAAAUAUCCAUCACAUUUUAGACACCAUUAAAAGGAUCAAAGACCAGCUAUACUCUGUGUCAAUCAGACCUCAUCUAGAGCCAUGUUUCCAGUUUGGGGCACUACCAUGAACAAGUAAACAAGCAAGAGACCUGUGUGGCAAGUGGUUCCUAGCACAGGGUGUUGAGUGCUGAAUUUUAGUGGCCUGGACUUGACUCUCAGCUCCUUAUUAGCUGUGAAAUUUGGACCAGCUACAUACCUCAUAUUCCUCUUCUCUGAACUGAGGUUCCUGAGACUUUGUGGAUAUUCAUUAAAUGCACAGAAAGGGAUGCCCAGCACAUUCCAAAUACUGUACAAACAAUACCUUGAAUACUACUAACUAGGGUGUGACCGGUCUGGAAAACAAGUUACAUGAGUAACAGUCCAGGAAACUGGGGACAAUUUAGUUUGUGGGAGAGAAGAUGUGUGAAGAAGAGAGUAGUCUUUAAAAAUGUGAAAGCUUGUCCAGUAGAAAAGAGAAUUGCCCUAGGAAGUCAGAAGGAAACUCUCAGUGGAAAUCAUAGGGAUAUAUAAUUUGGCCCAAUAUCAGAAAUACCUUUCUAGUUUCUAGAUGUCCAACAAGGAAACAAGCUAAUGAGCAAUGUGUUUUUAAGUCAUUUGUCAACAAAAGUUAGAUAAUUGUUAUGUGGUAUAUGAUUUAGCAGGAACUCCUGCAAUGAGUAUUGGGGUGGGGGAGGGGCAGGAAGAGGGAAAGGUAACAAAAUGACCUUUAAUUUCCCUUUGGGACUCUAUGUGUAUGUUGGACAGAAUAUCCGGAAAAUGGCUGCAACCUUUGUUUGUGUUCAUGGUUGGCCUUUUUCAAAUCAGCCCUUUGGCACUAGCCCUGAGACAUGUUGUGCCAAGUUGAUAUUGACAAUCCCACCUAUAUUUCCCCAUUCAGAUAGUUUUGCCUGCCAGAGACAUUUUAGGUGGCACACAAUGGUUUCUAUGUCACCAGCUUUGCAGACAUCUUUAAGAAACUGUGCUUUGGGGAUAGGAGCUUACUAACUGGACAAAAUUUCCCUUAAAAGGGAUUCCUUUUCUUGACCAGAAUGAAAAAUGCAUUGUGCAGGGCAAGAAACCUCACAGUAUUUGUGUUUUUCUUUUGGCUCUGCCAGGUAGGUAUUUUUACCCUAAUUGAGUAGGUUCUGGAAAUGUUGAGCACACAUCAGUCUUGUGCCUACCUCUGAUUGCACCACUGGUAGUUGAUAAUUAUAGCUUUUCAAAGAUACUCAGCACAUGCCAUGGUUUGGUGGGAGCAGAGCCUUUGUGUGGAAAAGUGGCUGACAUACUUCUAAGUAAAUCUGUGGAUGUGUUAUGUUUAGAAGGCAGCGGAAGAAGUCUGAGCUGGCAGAGUAAUUGCUGUGUUAGGGCGCCACUGAAGACAAAUAGUGUGCCCAAGACUGUGAAAACCCUGUCUUAUAAAAACUUGUUCCGACAUCAGAGCUCCUACUGGGAUGGAAAUAGCAACGUCUACCAUUUCUGAGCAAAUUUGGAGAAAAUGUCAAUGUAAUAUCUCAGGGAUUAUUCAUUUUUGAAAAAUGAGCAUACUUUCUACUGACCACUUUUUUUUCUCUUUUUUGGAGGGAUGAUGUUAGCUUUUCAAACUUCACUUUCCUCCCUUGUCUGGAUUUUAACUGUCUGUAUGAGUGGUGAUGACAACAAAGUAAAGAAAUCAUCUCACUCAAAUGAGUCUCAGUUGUUUGAGGUCAACAGGUGGCUUCUAGUUAAGAAAUAAAAUUGCUGAAACAAAAUCUGCCAAAAGGCAUGGCCCAGCCGAUUGAAUGGGACGAACUUGGAGGCCCCUUCCAGUCCUGGCAUUUUCUGAUUCCCUGAGCACAGCAAUACCAGUGCCUGUGACAUCUCACAAUGCAUCAGUUGGCUAUUCCAAAUGCCACCUAAAUGAGAAGGGGAAUAGAAUAUUCUUAAAUGAAAAUUCAAUGAAAAGACUAACAGAAAUUGGAUAUAUUUCUUUGGUUCAGUGAGCAUUGCCAGCGGCAAAAAAGAUGUUUAAAAAUAUGUACUUAGGAAAAUGAAAACAAUUUAUUUGUACUGAAUGCUUAUCAUAUGCCAGGUUCUCUAUCAGGCAUUUUAUAUGCAUUAUGGAUUCUAUUAUUCUCACCAUUUUAUGGACGAGGAAACUGAGGAUUGUGGAUCUAAAGUAAUGUCAUGAAGGUGACACUAACAAAUACUCUCCCAGCAACUAUAUCAUCCUGCUUCCCUAAAGCAUACAUGAGUGAUUCACCACAUAGGACAUCUCCUUGGCCCACCAGAUUUCAUAGUGUUGGUCAUAGACCGUUCAGUGCAUGCUGCCAGAACCUCGCUUCAAGUUCAUGUGGGAGAGAAACUGGAAGAACACUCCAUGGGCAGGUGUAGCAUAGAAUACAGGGGAGUUAACAUCCUCAAGGGCCAGCCCUCAACUCAAUGGAAUGAUGGGGGGGGGGUUCUGGGCAAAUACACGGCCUCGUUAUUUCCUGGAAGAACAGUUCUGAGACAAGGUUCCUCAGAAUGCCCCUAGCAAGAGUUAGCCCUCAUUCAAUGCAAAGUACUAACAAACUUAUUUGUGUAUCCUUUAUUAGUAACUCUUCCUUCCUUAUCUUGUUGUCCACAUUCCUCUUUUCUGCUUCUGGGAUCACCUCCCAAAUAAACUUCCUGCACUCAUGUCUUUGUCUAAGGUGCUGUUUUGAGAGGAAGCCAAACUAAGACACUCCCUAGGAAUAUGUAACUGCUAUAUUUGUUAUGAGCAUAAUCCCAGAAAUGAACUACAACGUCCGUUGCACCAGGGGGUUGGCUAUCACAAAGGCUAAGUUUAUUGGGAAAUAUUUCUCUAGCAUCAGAUCUCUAAUUAUACAAUGGAAGUUAAUGAUAAUAGAUUGAAAUUUGCUCUUUGGAAUUCAAUUAUUCAAUAAAAUAAAAGAGAAGCUCCACCACACAUUACCAUGACUUUGAAGUCUUCAAAAUACCUAAUGAUUUUGCAUGAAUAUUUCAAGAUCAUCUUUCUAAGCCUUCCUCCCAUCCCACUCUUGGAAGUGUCUGCUAUUAAUUUCCUUUGUGGUCUUAGAUGAGUCAGAGGUUGUAGAUGAAAUGAUUAUGUUCUCAUUCCUUUUGAAAAUUUCACUCCAAAUCUCUUUCCAUCUACUCCAACCCUAAUAUUUAGCUCUAAUGAAUUAAAACAGCCACAUCGAGGGGCGCCUGAGUUUUAUUGAAUGCAAUGACCAAAGUCAUCACAUUCAUUUUUCUUUCAAUUUCUCGUCAUUCUCUGAAAAUAAGGACAGGUAGAAGUAUCCAUUAGUUGGGACCAUUCUUAGGUGGUGUGUUACAUGUGAAAACAGUACAAUUCUGGACUUAGAGACUUGCAUCCAGCUGUCACAUCAGAACUCUUCCAAUGUACUACUGUUUUUUUUCAUCUCUGCUGUCUUUAGUCUCUGCUCCUCAGAUACCUGUGUGACUUUUCUUCAUACUUCAGGCAGAGUACCAGAGUGGUAUACCUUUUUUUCCUUUGCCUAAUGGAAAGCAGGAUCUUUCUUAAUGACUCUGUUUUUAGUAGAGUAUCCACCAGAAAUUCCACACUUUGUAACAACAACUAACCUAGCUGUAGGAUUUUAUUUGAGGGAGUCUACCAUUCUCCAUUCAUGGCAUAUGACCAUCUGAAUAAAAUCGGGCUAAAAAUAAGAACUGGUUCCUGGAAGCUAAUGCUACCUUGGACAGUUAACAAAAGUCUUGUGAAAUGACUGUGGUGUCAGAACAAACACCAACUAGUAGAUGUCUUCACACUAGAGUGCAUCACCUUGCUGCUAAGCUAUAGAGGAGGCUUAUAUCUGAUUAAAACAUUUGACAAAUUUUUAUGCAGUGCAAGUAACAGAUACGAGUGUGAUAAUCCAACUGAAAAUGGUAACCCCGUUUCUGGCACAGCAGUCUUCCUAGGGUGCUGCUUCCUGCAUUAGCCUUCACCUCUAGGCCUUGGGCAGGAAUCCCUCUGUCUCUGAGUCCCAGUGUUUCCUUUACGAAGCCAGCAUAGUGCUCUGUAUGUUCUGAUGGAAACUGAACAAUAGCAUUAGCUCCUGUAGCUACCUCAUGGGGCUGUUGUGAGGAACAGAGGUGAUAACAUAUGGAGCAUAUGUUCACUUUGGAGGUUAACAGAGUUGUAUUUAAAUCCUGGCUCUAAUUGAGGAAGCCAAGUCAAGUUAACUUCUCAUCUGUAUGGUGAGGCAAGUAGUACCUACUUGGUAGAACUGCCCUGAGACUUUCCGUUCAACAAAUAUGAACACUUGCUAUAUACAAGUUAUUAUUCUGGGUCCUGGGGAUACAACAGAGAACAAAGUCCCUGCCUCCUGGGAUUCAGAAAAGAAAACAGGUAAUUGACUGCAUAAUGUAUUAUCAGGAUUGGAGGCAGGAAGAAGAAUAACAAAGGAUAAAGGGAGAAAGAUAGAGAAAGAGAAUGAGAGUAGCUAUAUUGUAAGGGGUGGUCAAGGAAGGCCUCAUACCUGCAUGAAGUGAAGGGGCAAAACAUGCAGAAAUCUGAAAGAAGAGCAUUUUAGGCAGCAAACCCAGCAAGCGCAAAGGCUCUUUUAUAGACUGAAUUGUGCCCCCUUCCCAAGUACAUGUAUUGAAGCCCUUAACUUUCAACGGUACUGUGUUUGGGGAUAAGCCUUUAGGGAGGAGAUUAAUGUUAAAUGAGGUCAGAAGAGUGGGACUCUAAUCCAAUGGAUUUAUGUCCUUAUAAAAAGGCAGAUCUCUCUCUCUGCCUCUGUCUCUCUCUGUCUCUGUCUCUGUCUCUCUCUCUCGCACAUACACAAAGGAAAGGCCAUAUGAGGAUAUAGUGAGGAAACAAACAUCUAUUUGUUGGGAAAAAAGGUCUCACCAGAAACCAACCCUGAUGGCAUCUUGAUCUUGGACUUCCAGCCUCCAGAACUGUGAGAAAAGAAGAUUAUUUGUUUAAGCUGCUCAGCCUGUGGGAUUGUAUUAUGGCAGCCCAAGCAGGCUAUUAUGGGUUCUGAAGCUGAAAUGACCUUGACACAGGGAGGCAGCAAAGAAGUGAUGGACGAGAAAGCUGGGAAAUCAGGUAGAGAAGAGUCAGAAUCCAGGACACCUUCUCCAGAAUAAGGAGUCAGGAUUUGAUACCAAAGGUGAUGGAUGUCUUUGGAAGAUAUGCUUUAAGAAGUGAAAUGAUGUGACAUAUUUCUAAAAGAUCAAUCUGGCUGCUAUGUUGAAAAUUGACUCUAGAGUAGAGAUGAGUGGGUCCAGAGAGAUGGUGGGAAGUGGUUGAGAUCAAUUUUGGAGAUGGAGCUGACAGAAUUUGGUGAUGGAUUGGAAGUGAAGUGGGCAGAAGUAAGUUGGGAUGACUCACAGGUCAUGGGACUGAGCAGCUGGGUGAAUGAUGGUGUUUUUUGGAGAUUGCUGUUCUUCUCGCGUCUGUAACACCAUUCUCCAGAUCUGGCACAGCUCACUUACCCCUCCUCCAUGUGUUUACUCAGAUGUCACCUUCGCAUCCAGGCUUUCCCUGGCCAGCCUACUUAAAACCACACUGCCUCUUCCAUUUCCCUUCACACUGUACUUUUCUCUAUAGCACUUAUCCCCAUUUAGCAUAUAAUAUAAAUUGCCUACCAGUUUUACUUAUUGUCUUCUGGAGUGGACAGUUUAUGAGAUCAUGUAUUUUUGUCUGUUUUGUUCACUGUUUUUUGGUUCAUUGUGCUUAAAAUACUGUCUGGCACAUAACAGGUGAUCAACAAAUAUUUGUUGCACAUACGGAUGAAUGAAUGAAUGAAUGAAUGAAUGAAUAGGUGAAUCAAUGGGUGAAUCCUGGGGAAUGGAACUCAAAAAUUCUAUCAGGAAGCCUACUAAACAGUCAAGUGGAAACCUCUAGUAGGCUAUUGCCUGUAUGAUUAAAUGAGAUAAGACAUACAAUGGCUAAUAUUGUAUGUACCACUUAGUUAGAUUAUACUAUAAGUAUUAUUGUUCUAUUUGUGAGCGCACUACAUCUACCUCUUACUACACUUUGGUGGACGUUCUCUAAGACCGUGGUUCUUAGUCCUGUGGUUCUGUGGCUCUCUGGGUAUGUGGUUGGGGUGAAAGCAGUGAGGGAAGUAGCUGCUACCCAACCGCCUCCUUUCAGAGCUGCUCAGUCACCACUGUCACACAAAUGGACACUUAUGCAGAUUUCCUGCUUCCUUCAUAGGCUCUCAUUUUUGUGCUGAGUAUUAAUUCCCAUCUGUGUUCAAGAACCGUAAUCAAGCAGGGGCAGUAAUCAGAAUGAUGUGUACAGCAAAAUCAAAGCUUUUUACAUCAAAAUCAAAGCCACACAGUAAAUUAUAGGAAUAUGUGUUAGGGUUUAAUCAAUGACUCUGAUCUCUUAUGUGAUUGAUGCGGAGAGCAUCAAAGAUUUGGUUUAUAAGUGGCCAAGAGGAACAUAUUAUGAAUUUGUCUCAUGAAACUUAGUAUGUUAUGACUUAUUUGUUAAGUAGUAAGAUUUUGAUGUGUGUCUUUAGGCACAUGAGGACCAAAAAAAUUUUUUUUAAUAAAAAAAAAGGAGCUCUUGAUGCCUUUAUGCAGUGGCUUACAGAAUGAUCUGCCCUCCAAAAAGUUUUUUACAGGUGUGUUGAUUCACACAUGGGAAAAUAGCUAAUGUGACUGGAGUAAUGGUUUCCUAACUAGACUCACCACAUGAAUUUCCUACCAUCCAUCUAUCUUCCAUCAUGCUGCUAGAGUAACAUUUCAGAAAUCCAAGUUAAAUUCUAUUACUCCUCUAUUUAAAAUUUUCCAUUGUUGCCCAUCACUGGAAGAUAAAUUUAUAGACUUCUAAGUUUGUCAUUUAAUGCUCUUUGUGAUCUUCUUGGCCUCUUUAUUCAAAUUGAUCUCAUGCUUACAAUCCCAAGUAAAUACACGUGUACACCCAUGUGCACGUGUGGGCACGUGCACGCGUGUGCACACACACACACACACACACACACACACACACCCUGCCCUCUAGCACACUCAUAUGCAUCUACCACGUGCCAUCCUGUGCAUAAUUCUCAGUGCCUUUCCUCUUUGUGAAAUCUUCCUCUCCAUCCUCUAACUGGAUCAAUUUAUAAAGUAUUUUUUUAAAAUAUAUGCUCAUGG